GGAAGAUUGGCUUUGUGAUUACAGCAGUGGGCUUGGAUUUAGGAGGUCUAGGUUCAAGUCCUGGAUCUACCA
rnacentral:tRNA from 1 species